rnacentral:rRNA from 1 species
GAUGAACGCUGGCGGCGUGCCUAAUACAUGCAAGUCGAGCGAAUGGAUUAAGAGCUUGCUCUUAUGAAGUUAGCGGCGGACGGGUGAGUAACACGUGGGUAACCUGCCCAUAAGACUGGGAUAACUCCGGGAAACCGGGGCUAAUACCGGAUAACAUUUUGAACCGCAUGGUUAGAAACUGAAAGGCGGCUUAGGCUGUCACGUAUGGAUGGACCCGCGUCGCAUUAGCUAGUUGGUGAGGUAACGGCUCACCAAGGCAACGAUGCGUAGCCGACCUGAGAGGGUGAUCGGCCACACUGGGACUGAGACACGGCCCAGACUCCUACGGGAGGCAGCAGUAGGGAAUCUUCCGCAAUGGACGAAAGUCUGACGGAGCAACGCCGCGUGAGUGAUGAAGGCUUUCGGGUCGUAAAACUCUGUUGUUAGGGAAGAACAAGUGCUAGUUGAAUAAGCUGGCACCUUGACGGUACCUAACCAGAAAGCCACGGCUAACUACGUGCCAGCAGCCGCAGUAA